rnacentral:lncRNA from 1 species
CCCGUCCCCCCCUACAGGUGCACACGUUUGGGGUGAUCCCUCCGGAGCAGAGCUCGAAUGUGGACAGCAACGCGAUCGGGGUCGCGUGGUUGGGGGAAGCGCCGCCCGUCCCGGGGAAUGGCCUUGGCAGGUCAGCCUCCAGUUAUGGGGUCAGCACUUCUGUGGGGGAACCCUCGUGGCCCCGCAGUGGGUCCUGUCGGCCGCGCACUGCUUCCAGGGCCCCAACGGGAGCCGCGCCGACCCUACAGCCUGGAAGGUGGUUGUGGGGCGACUCCGACUCCCCGAUUCCGGGGGUCAGGAGAGGGCAGUGGAGGCCGUGGUGCUGCACGAGGCCUACAGAAGGGUGCAGGGCGGCCACGAUUUGGCUUUGAUCCGCCUGAAGAGCCCGGUCAGCCUCGGACCCCGCGUGGGGAUCAUCUGCCUCCCCCAACCCCGUUACCCCUUCGCCUUCGGGACCCCCUGUUGGAUCACGGGGUGGGGGAACGUGGCGGAGAACGGUGA